GAGUUUGAUCUUGGCUCAGGACGAACGCUGGCGGCGUGCCUAAUACAUGCAAGUCGAGCGAGUCUCUUCGGAGGCUAGCGGCGGACGGGUGAGUAACACGUAGGCAACCUGCCUCUCAGACCGGGAUAACAUAGGGGAAACUUAUGCUAAUACCGGAUAGGUUUUGGAUUGCAUGAUCCGAAAAGAAAGAUGGCUUUUCGCUAUCACUGGGAGAUGGGCCUGCGGCGCAUUAGCUAGUUGGUGGGUAACGGCCUACCAAGGCGACGAUGCGUAGCCGACCUGAGAGGGUGACCGGCCACACUGGGACUGAGACACGGCCCAGACUCCUACGGGAGGCAGC
rnacentral:rRNA from 1 species